ensembl:misc_RNA Y_RNA Y RNA
GGCUGCUCUGAAGGUAGUCAGUUAUCUUAAUUGACUGUUCACAGUCAGUUAUCUUAAUUGACUAUUCACAAUCAGUUACAGGUUGAAUUCCUUGUUCUACUCUUUCCCCUUUUCUUAAUAGGACACUUGACUAGUCUUUA